GACGUAGGGCGCGAGCGUUGUCCGGAUUUAUUGGGCGUAAAGAGCUCGUAGGCGGCUUGUCGCGUCGACUGUGAAAACCCGUGGCUCAACCAUGUGGUCUGCAGUCGAUACGGGCAGGCUAGAAUUCGGUAGGGGAGACUGGAAUUCCUGGUGUAGCGGUGAAAUGCGCAGAUAUCAGGAGGAACACCGGUGGCGAAGGCGGGUCUCUGGGCCGAGAGUGACGCUGAGGAGCGAAAGCGUGGGGAGCGAACAGG
rnacentral:rRNA from 1 species